GUUUGAACUCUCUCAAGAAGAACUUAAAUAAAACUCAAAGAAAAAUCAUACAGGAGGGGCUGUGUGGUUACUGCUACGACCAUUAUAAGAGGUGCCGUAGAUUGGCAGAGAAGGGAAAGUGUCUCACCGAUAUACGCUUCAUGGAGUUUUCUUGCACUAAAUCUUGCCACCUCUGUUGAAACACCAGUAACAGUCUUCUCCCUUGAUUGUUCAGCAAGAAUUUCCACCCUACUGCAGUGCUGUGGCUUUCUGCAGUGAGAUGUUUCUCAAUAUCACACUGACAGACAUGUCUUGUGGGGCACGAAUAAAUACAUGACUGAUUAUUAUUA